rnacentral:rRNA from 1 species
AAGAACAAGUGCGAGAGUAACUCCUCGCACCUUGCCGGUCCCUAACCAGAAAGCCACGGCUAACUACGUGCCAGCAGCCGCGGUAAUACGUAGGUGGCAAGCGUUGUCCGGAAUUAUUGGGGGUAAAGGGCUCGCAGGCGGUUUCUUAAGUUUGAUGUGAAAGCCCCCGGCUCAACCGGGGAGGGUCAUUGGAAACUGGGAAACUUGAGUGCAGAAGAGGAGAGUGGAAUUCCACGGGUAGCGGUGAAAUGGGUAGAGAUGGGGAGGAACACCAGUGGCGAAGGCGACUCUCUGGUCUGUAACUGACGCUGAGGAGCGAAAGCGUGGGGAGCGAACAGGAUUAGAUACCCUGGUAGUCCACGCCGUAAACGAUGAGUGCUAAGUGUUAGGGGGUUUCCGCCCCUUAGUGCUGCAGCUAACGCAUUAAGCACUCCGCCUGGGGAGUACGGUCGCAAGACUCAAACUCAAAGGAAUUGACGGGGGCCCGCACAAGCGGUGGAGCAUGUGGUUUAAUUCGAAGCAACGCGAAGAACCUUACCAGGUCUUGACAUCCUCUGACAACCCUAGAGAUAGGGCUUUCCCUUCGGGGACAGAGUGACAGGUGGUGCAUGGUUGUCGUCAGCUCGUGUCGUGAGAUGUUGGGUUAAGUCCCGCAACGAGCGCAACCCUUGAUCUUAGUUGCCAGCAUUCAGUUGGGCACUCUAAGGUGACUGCCGGUGACAAACCGGAGGAAGGUGGGGAUGACGUCAAAUCAUCAUGCCCCUUAUGACCUGGGCUACACACGUGCUACAAUGGACAGAACAAAGGGCUGCAAGACCGCAAGGUUUAGCCAAUCCCAUAAAUCUGUUCUCAGUUCGGAUCGCAGUCUGCAACUCGACUGCGUGAAGCUGGAAUCGCUAGUAAUCGCGGAUC